AAAACUCCGGUGGUAUGGGAUGGGCCCGCGUCUGAUUAGGUAGUUGGCGGGGUAAGGGCCCACCAAGCCGACGAUCAGUAGCCGACCUGAGAGGGUGGCCGGCCACAUUGGGACUGAGACACGGCCCAAACUCCUACGGGAGGCAGCAGUGGGGAAUAUUGCGCAAUGGGGGAAACCCUGACGCAGCAACGCCGCGUGAGUGAAGAAGUAUCUCGGUAUGUAAAGCUCUAUCAGCGGGGAAGAAGGAAGACGGUACCCGACUAAGAAGCCCCGGCUAACUACGUGCCAGCAGCCGCGGUAAUACGUAGGGGGCGAGCGUUAUCCGGAUUUACUGGGUGUAAAGGGAGCGUAGACGGCGUCGCAAGCCUGAAGUGAAAGCCCGUGGCUCAACCGCGGAACCGCUUUGGAAACUGCGAGGCUGGAGUGCUGGAGAGGUAAGCGGAAUUCCUGGUGUAGCGGUGAAAUGCGUAGAUAUCAGGAGGAACACCGGUGGCGAAGGCGGCUUACUGGACAGUGACUGACGUUGAGGCUCGAAAGCGUGGGGAGCGAACAGGAUUAGAUACCCUGGUAGUCCACGCGGUAAACGAUGAGUGCUAGGUGUCGG
rnacentral:rRNA from 1 species